UUUAGGCAGUGUUUAACACCCUAAAAAAUGCAAGACUGCAGCUCUCGGUUCAAACAAGCUUCAAUCUCGUAUCGCAUGCUGUAACUUAAAUUGGUCUUACGUUCGUACAAUCUUCAAUUUUUUGUUAUGUUAUGAACGUAAAUGUAUCUUUGAUGAGUCAUGACUUCGUCAGUUUUAUGGAUGGAAUGUUACAUCUGAAUUUGGUUAAAACUCAUUCUAUUACUUGAGUACUGUUUGAAGCCUCCACAAAAAAAAUACAUUUAUAUAAACAUCAAUAAAACAAUUUGCGGCAUUAGAUAAAAUCCUGUAAAGUUUAUUUCAGCAACAAUAUGUUAAUUUCAUAAUCCAGUGGCAAC
rnacentral:lncRNA from 1 species